AGGAAUAGAUGGACUCCUAUUUUGAGAGGAGCCUUGAAGUACAUGCAGCAGCAGAGAGAGAGAGAGAGGAGCUGAGAAGCUCGAAGUAGUCCUGGAGCUGUGCC